rnacentral:lncRNA from 1 species
UAACGGCGGUCGGAGAACAGGUAAGGCCCCCCUCGAUUUCCCCUUUGAGUCUUUGUUUUAUUUUUUAAAGUAAAAGAGGAAAGAAAAAAGAUUCGUAACAGUAAAAAAAAAUAGAGGAAAAAAACUAUCAUCACCUUGUUUCUAUUUGUUUGAACGAAAAUUACACUCAAAGAUUUUCGUAUUUUUUUGAUUUCCAAAAAAAAAAGAAUCCCCUUUUACAGCUUUUCGUAUGGGUUUUAUAGCCUAAGGAAAUAAACCGAAAAAACAAGUCUCCUUUUGUUACUGUGCUUCUUGUUGUUUUCUGUUGUAGGUAUAGUUGCGAAAACCUCGGAAUCGCGAGGCAUGGCGGAGUGGGACGCUGGUGAGAGGCGUGCGGCGCGAGGGCUCAAGCAACAGCCUUGGGUUUCUGUUUGUUUGGGCCUUGUUUGGGUUUAUAUUUGGGCCUAUGUUUCUUGUAUUGGGUCAUGGCAUAAAUUAGUUGGGCUGUGUAGUGUUUUUGGAUUUGGGUUUGUGAGCUUUGGGCCCGGGCAUAAAUUUGGUCCUACAAUAUAUUUUGUUCUUUUUG